UACAGAGGUCCCGAGCGUUGUUCGGAUUCAUUGGGCGUAAAGGGCGCGUAGGUGGCGCGGGCAGUCAACGGUGAAAGCUCGGGGCUCAACCCCGAGUCGGCCGUCGAUACUCCCGCGCUUGAGCACUGUAGAGGCAGGUGGAAUUCCGGGUGUAGCGGUGGAAUGCGUAGAGAUCCGGAAGAACACCGGUGGCGAAGGCGGCCUGCUGGGCAGUAGCUGACACUGAGGCGCGACAGCGUGGGGAGCAAACAGG
rnacentral:rRNA from 1 species